UACGAAGGGGGCUAGCGUUGCUCGGAAUCACUGGGCGUAAAGGGUGCGUAGGCGGGUCUUUAAGUCAGGGGCGAAAUCCUGGGGCUCAACUCCAGAACUGCCUUUGAUACUGAAGAUCUUGAGUUCGGGAGAGGUGAGUGGAACUGCGAGUGUAGAGGUGAAAUUCGUAGAUAUUGGGAGGAACACCAGUGGCGAAGGCGGCGACCUGGACGGACAUUGACGCUGAGACGCGAAAGCGUGGGGAGCAAACAGG
rnacentral:rRNA from 1 species